CCUACGGGGGGCUGCAGUGGGGAAUAUUGGACAAUGGGCGAAAGCCUGAUCCAGCCAUGCCGCGUGUGUGAAGAAGGCCUUCGGGUUGUAAAGCACUUUCAGUGGGGAAGAAAGCCUUGGGGCUAAUACCCUCGAGGAAGGACAUCACCCACAGAAGAAGCACCGGCUAACUCCGUGCCAGCAGCCGCGGUAAUACGGAGGGUGCGAGCGUUAAUCGGAAUUACUGGGCGUAAAGCGCGCGUAGGCGGUCUGAUAAGCCGGUUGUGAAAGCCCCGGGCUCAACCUGGGAACGGCAUCCGGAACUGUCAGGCUAGAGUGCAGGAGAGGAAGGUAGAAGUCCCGGUGUAGCGGUGAAAUGCGUAGAGAUCGGGAGGAAUACCAGUGGCGAAGGCGGCCUUCUGGACUGACACUGACGCUGAGGUGCGAAAGCGUGGGUAGCAAACAGGAUUAGAUACCCUAGGAGUC
rnacentral:rRNA from 1 species